rnacentral:lncRNA from 1 species
CUUUCUAAAGCUCUGAUCAGUCAAGAAGGGGGUUGUAUCAAUCCUCAGAACCCUGAGUGGAACUUUCUACAGGAUUUAUUAGGAGAAAAACCUUCCCGGAAGCUGCAGAAGGACAAAUACAGAAUCCGUGUCUGGGAGAAACCUCGUGGCCUGGUCUCCAUUAUUUGAGAUGAGUUACAUCUUGGAGGCCUGAUCUUUUGGCCAGAAGGAGAUUAAAAAGAUGCCCCUCAAGAUGGCUGUGCCUGUCAGCUGCAUGGAGCUUCGUUCAAGUAUUUUCUGAGCCUGAUGGAUUUACAGUGAUCUUCAGUGGUCUGGGGAAUAACGCUGGUGGAACCAUGCACUGGAAUGACACACGCCCGGCACAUUUCAGGAUACUAAAAGUGGUUUUAAGGGAGGCUGUGGCUGAAUGCCUCAUGGAUUCUUACAGCUUGGAUGUCCAUGGGGGACGAAGGACUGCAGCUGGCUGAGAGGGUUGAGAUCUCUGUUUACUUAGAUCUCUGCCAACUUCCUUUGGGUCUCCCUAUGGAAUGU